GAGCCUGAUCAGCCUGCCGCGUGUGUGAAGAAGGCCUUAUGGUUGUAAAGCACUUUAAGCGAGGAGGAGGCUACUUUAGUUAAUACCUAGAGAUAGUGGACGUUACUCGCAGAAUAAGCACCGGCUAACUCUGU
rnacentral:rRNA from 1 species